rnacentral:lncRNA from 1 species
GUAGCCUAAUUUUGUAGUCUGGCCACACAAACCAGGUCAAGGAAGUGCAGCAGAAAAACUAUUCGCCAAUUUUUUUGUUAUUUUUUAUGAAAUGCAAUUAUGUGUAUUGUUUCUUUAUUAUUUAGUUGAAAUGAGAGUGAGAUAAUGUAGCGCGUACACCGUAAUGAUUGGAGGCAGUGCGAGUGGUUGUAACAGGACAGAAGAAAACUAGGUGGUGUGACAGCUAAAGAAUACCGCAUAGAAGAUUUUAGCUCAAAAAUGGAUACAGCUUUGCAGAUAAUUAAAUAUUUAUAGAUGCCGUUGGUGAUAUCCAAUUGUGUGAUAAAUUAUAGACGAAAGUUCCCGUGACCUUUUACACUUUGAAUACUGGUCCAACAGUUGUUCAAAUAAACACUAUGGAUGGAAGUUUUAUAAUUCCUGGAAAAACAAAUCAAAGUACAGAAAUACAGAUAACAUAAAACACUAUUUAGAUACAACUUCCUUUGAAGGGAUCAAUUUAAUCAUAGUUUUAUUUAUAAAC